UUUGUCAAAGGAGGAAGCAUCAUCAAGUAAGAGAUAUGGCAGCCGUUUUGGGAAGAAGAAAGAUAGCGAAGCUAAUGCAAUUUCUAAUGGGAGGCAGAGGAGGCCUCAGAUCAGAAGGAAUCACCCAUCCCGUCAACACCAUUAUCAAGUAUCUUCAGUCAUUCAUGUAUUCUCAAAUAGUCAAGCAACACCAAUUCAAUAACAACAACGUCAACAGCA
rnacentral:lncRNA from 1 species